rnacentral:rRNA from 1 species
UACGGAGGGUGCGAGCGUUGUCCGGAAUCAUUGGGCGUAAAGGGCGCGUGGGUGGCGGGACAAGCGUGCGGUGAAAGCUCGGGGCUCAACCCCGAGUCGGCCGUGCGAACUGUUUUGCUUGAGCACUGUAGAGGCAGGCGGAAUUCCGGGUGUAGCGGUGGAAUGCGUAGAGAUCCGGAAGAACACCGGUGGCGAAGGCGGCCUGCUGGGCAGUAGCUGACACUGAGGCGCGACAGCGUGGGGAGCAAACAGG